rnacentral:rRNA from 1 species
GACGAACCGUGCGAACGUUGUUCGGAAUCACUGGGCUUAAAGGGCGCGUAGGCGGGUCAGCAAGUCCGGGGUGAAAUCUUUCGGCUUAACCGGAAAAGUGCCUUGGAGACUGCUGAUCUUGAGGGAGGUAGGGGCAUGUGGAACUUCCGGUGGAGCGGUGAAAUGCGUUGAUAUCGGAAGGAACGCCGGUGGCGAAAGCGACGUGCUGGCCCUCUUCUGACGCUGAGGCGCGAAAGCCAGGGGAGCGAACGGG